UUGUCUGACUGACACCCAAGAUUGCCUUGUAAAUUCCCUCUGAAUAAAUAUUUGACUACUUACCAACCUUGAAGGGUCUGCCUCUUUCUUUGGCCUGAGCUUAUGAAGAGCAGUUCUUGGUUCUGACAAAGUGUUUUCCCAAUACAAAGGGUUUAGACCCUCUAAGGAUGCAUAACUAGCCAAGGCAGAAAACCAGUCUCUUUGCCACAUAAGAUUUUAAUUCCAACAUUACUCCACAAUUAAUUGAUAAUAUACUAUAUCAUCUUUAUUUUUACUAUUGUUAGUUAAAAAUGUGGGUUUUUUGUUUGUUUGUUUCUUUCAAGUCAAGAAUCUACUAUAGCUGUUUAUGGUCUAUCAUAUUAGAUCUAAAUUCCAGUUGUUAUUUAAAUUUUUCAAUCUAGUAUCACCUAAUAUGAAUUAUCUCUCCAAUUAAUUUGGUUUCAGGUUAUUUUUCACUGAAGCCAGGGAGUACAAAUUAGGUCUGAAACCUGUAAGUUUUAAAACAGGGUCUGCCUUGGGAAAUCUAGGGCAUCAGGUUCUUAGAUGAUAGGACAAUGCAAGCCAGGCAGUAGUGUCUUAGCUAAGCACCCUCUGAGCCAGUGAGCAGUUGGCUCUAUUUAAAUCAGUUAAAAAUAGACUAACCAGCAGUUAAAAUUUUCAGCACAGCAAAAAGCAGUGAGGACAAGGUUUAUUCUUUGAUCUCUAAAGGUUUGCUUCAUUGAGCCUGAUAAUGGUGCAUGACGUGAAGAAUGUUAGCUAUACUGUGGUCUCACAUUACCUUGGUUUUACUUAGUCAUCAGUGUAAUUUAUCUAAGGGCAACUUGCCGCUAAAAAAAGAGCUCAGCUUGAAGGCUUCUAGCUUACACAGCAGGAGUUUCUGGAAAUUUUACUGCUGGUGGUGGUGGAUAGAAGGCAGAGAUAUGGCCAGUAUCAAACGAGAUUAUGUCCUGGGAAUUCAGAGAUUACAGUCUGAAGAAUUCAAGGUUUGACCUCCUUUAAAGAACCUUCAUAUCAUCUUGCCCUGCAUGAAAUGUAUUAGGAGCCUUCCCUCUGUUCUUUGAUAAUAUUUUUCAAAGAUAUUAUCAUUUACAAAAUGGAAUUCCAAUGACUUGUUCAUAUGUCCAUCUUCAAGUGGUCUGGGAAUACCAAUGACUUGUUCAUGUCCAUCUUCAAGUGGUCUGGGAAUACCAAUGACUUGUUCAUAUGUCCAUCUUCAAGUGGUCUGGGAAUACCAAUGACUUGUUCAUAUGUCCAUCUUCAAGUGGUCUAUCAAGUAAGCAUGUACUUAUGCGAGUCUUUCCAGAGGAUAUCAUUAACCUGAGUCAAUAGUUGAGAAAACUAAUCAAAUGGAUGUAAGUCCAUGUUUUUAUUUGUAAAUAAAAGUUUU
rnacentral:lncRNA from 13 species